rnacentral:lncRNA from 1 species
AUAAACAACGAUCCGCCCUUCCUAUUUUUCUUCAGUCUCUUUCUUACAUACCUGUGUUUCACCACUCGGAUUAUCUCUUCGGCAACGUCUUCCUGGUGGUGGAAGUGGUGAACACUGACUGCUAAGUAACAAGUUAGCAAAAUGGGACCUGGUGGACCGGGAGGAGGGCCGGGAGGACCAGGUGGACCGGGAGGAUGGGGAGGAGGACCUGGUGGUUGGGGUCCUGGCCCUGGAGGACCUGGCGGAUUUGGGCCCGGAGGUCCUGGUUGGGGUCCGGGACCUGGAGGUCCCUGGGGCCCUGGAUUUGGAGGUCCUGGUUUUUGGCCUGGUGGGUUCUUUGGCGGCUUUGCAGAUGGUUUGUGCAAUAUGAUAUCUUCCUGGUAAGCAAUCAAAUCUUUACUCAAUUCCGGUAUAGUUAAAUGCGGUUUGAUUGAGGUUAAAUUUGAUUGGGAUUGCAGCUUCUACUGUCUUUGCUGUUGUUGGCUACUACAAGACUGCUUUGGUCGACGCCCUGGCUAUGGUCCUCCCCCUUUCUAGUCAUCUGCUGGCUGCUGUUGCUAUACAUGUGUUUUCUGUAGUGCCCGGUAAUAAAUUUAAUAAUCUAGUUUUAAGCUUUUUUUCGUUGCUCUUGCUUCCGCUACUAUUUUCAUCUAUUACCAUCCAAACUUAUAUCAAAAGUAAUAAAUG